CAGUAGCCGCGGUAAUACGGAGGGGGCUAGCGUUGUUCGGAAUUACUGGGCGUAAAGCGCACGUAGGCGGAUCGAUCAGUCAGGGGUGAAAUCCCAGAGCUCAACUCUGGAACUGCCUUUGAUACUGUCGAUCUGGAGUAUGGAAGAGGUGAGUGGAGUUCCGAGUGUAGAGGUGAAAUUCGUAGAUAUUCGGAGGAACACCAGUGGCGAAGGCGGCUCACUGGUCCAUUACUGACGCUGAGGUGCGAAAGCGUGGGGAGCAAACAGGAUUAGAUACCCCCGUAGUCCCUGUCUCUUAUAC
rnacentral:rRNA from 1 species